UGUCACGUAAUUCAAUGGGAAGAAUCAAUGCCCUUGGCCAGGGUAGGUUAGAGGUUCGAGUCCUCUCGUGACAGC
rnacentral:tRNA from 2 species